rnacentral:lncRNA from 1 species
GUGAGUGAAUUAGGAGCUGAAGCAGUAAAGUAGCUUUCCCUGUGACCCUGAUGUGUCGGGCAUUUCUGUCUUAGACUAAAAGCAUAAUAAAAAAGGCACUUUGUUUAGGUUAACAGAGCAUUAUAUAACUGGAAAGUUUUACAGUUUUAUAUAUAUAGUGAAUAGUUUGUAGAGGAUAAAAAGACUUCCCUUUGGUUUAUUAUUUGGGUAAAAUAAAAACCCACGAAUCAUUUAAGGAUGCAUUUCUUUUUCUUUUUUCUGCCUUUUUUUUUUUAAGACAAAAGCUUGAAGGCAUAAAAUGGAGUUAUUUUCAUCGGGAUAUCACCCUCGAUGCUGCUGCUUUACUACAUGUUCAUAGUCAAAAUUAUUUCAUGUUUCCCUUGAAUAACUACGAUCAGUUUGAAAACAGCUUUGUUAAUUAGUAAGAGAUGACGCAAUAUAUCACUGCAUCUUUAGGGCUCUGGCGCCAGCUAGUGGUAGGAGAGGGGAGCCGCCCUGUCGCUCUCAAAUCUGGGAAGGCGUCGGUCUUCUCGCGUCCCCUUAUCCCUCAUCCUCCUCAUUUUUUUUUUCCAUCAGCAUAAUGGGGGAAUCAUUGCAGUGUGGCCAGAGAGGAGCAGACGAGAUUAUAGAUGAAAGUAGAGAAAAACGGUGGGCAGGGGCAGGGAGAGGAAAGGCCAGACAAAUGCAAUCAUUUCUCCAAAGGAUUUGAGAAGAGAUCAUUUAUUUGAAAUAUUCCUGCCAUGUUGAUGGAGCAGCUCAAUCUUUUGCCAGUGAAUCUUUAGCGUUUUGUUUUUCAUUUGUAGAUAUGGUUGAACAUAUACUUAGGACACGUAAUAACUAUGGAACUUCAUCACAAACACAGCACUGAGGACAUGUUCUGAAUACAGACAAUAUGGAGGCCUCAGGCUCAGAGGAUGGCAGAGUCUUCAGAUGGAUGGAGGGAGCUGCAGUCACUGAACCACUGCAGGGAGAGAAGUACUCACAGACCAGGAACGCUCAACUUGGACUGUUAUGUGACAGAAAGAACUUGAUGUAUACCUCCUGACCUGUUCAUCUUGUAGCUGCCUCUUGACAGAUAUAAGAGGCCGCCCUGUAGAGGAGGAAGGAGGAAGUUGGCUGUGAUUGACCUUGCUAGGUCAUCUUCCUAAUCUUUGUCCUUUCCUGCACCCCAAAUGGAAGAUAAAAGGCAAUGCAAGAUCAGCAUCCUCAGAGACAUCGUUUUGUUUGGGUUUCAUGGAUUGCAAUUGCCAGAGAUGCUUAGGCUGCCUCUAGAGGGAAGAUGAUUGAUUGUUAACCUAUGUGGUCCAACCAAAUGUCUUAGGGGUUAUUGAUAAUUAAAAUGGACAAUAGCGAUUUUCCAUUUCUUCUGGCCUUGGGUGCUGGCAUGUGGAAGUGGUAUUGAUACUCAUGACCAAAUAGGCACUUAUCGAUUUCAGUUUUCAUAAGUUGCCUACCAAAUGCAAACUAGUAACCCAGACGUGGGAGACCUAAUAUUCCAUUGUUAAUCUUUAGGUCCAUAAUUUUUAUUUCCUCUACUUGCCUCUUCUUCCUUCCUCUGCAUAAUGAGUUGGGCUUAUAUAAUUGCACCCAUUUACUCACUCAUUCGUUCAAUCAAUUAUUUGUUCCUAUUUUAUGCCAAGUAAUGAACAGAAGGUGUUGGGGAUGCAAAACCCAACUAAUUGGAAUUUCUAUGUUACAGGAGCUUAUGCUUUAGUGAAAUUAUAGACAAAUUAUUAUACAGUUUUAAUCCAGAAUAGUAAGUGCUAUGGGAGCAUGCACAGAGGAAACAACCCAAUCUUAAGGAAUCAGGAAGGUUUGCAGAGGACUGACAGGAAAAGUGGGCAGGUGAAGAAGAUGGGCAGUGAGAGGAGGAGUGGAAGCACUUUUGCUAGGGAAAAACAUGAAUAAAAGGGAUAAUUUUCUGCUCUUACCCCUGGGUGAUCUUUGCGUGGUACUGUCCAUCACAGUUGGGAGAGACGGCUCCUCAGAGCUGCUCCACACUGUUCACAGAGGAUGCCAUUCCAAGGAAACUGGGGAAUAGGGAAAGUCUUUAGCUUAUUCCUCUUUGAGGUUUGUUUGAGAUGCAGUUUCUUCAAUAUUUUGAGUCUAUGAAAACAUGUUGUAUACUUAAAUAUAUACCACAAAAAAUAAAAAAAAUUGCGAUUUAAA